ensembl:snoRNA SNORA74 Small nucleolar RNA SNORA74
CCCAGCUGUAGGCAACAGCCUAGGUCGCUUUGUACCUAAGCAAGUGUUACACUGCUAGGAGAAAAACAGCUAAUACCUGCAGGGCAACCUGGGCCUAGUUAUACCAAAUUUGUGUUAACUAU